GCCAGGUGCGGUGGCCCACGCCUGUCAUCCCAGCAGCUCGGGAGGCUGGGGCAGGAGGAUCGAGAGUUCAAAGCCAGCCUCAGCAACUUAGUGAGACUCUGUCUCUA
rnacentral:sRNA from 1 species